rnacentral:rRNA from 1 species
AUUGAACGCUGGCGGCAGGCCUAACACAUGCAAGUCGAACGCGUGGCGGACGGGUGAGUAAUGUCUGGGAAACUGCCCGCUGGAGAGGGGUAACUACUGUAAAAGGUAGCUCUUACCGCAUACCCUCGGAUGUGCCCCGAUGGGAGUAGCUCGAAGGGGGGGUAACGGCUCACACAGGCGACGAUCCCUAGCUGGUCUGAGAGGAUGACCAGCCAAACUGGAACUGAGACAAGGCCCAGACUCCUACGGGAGGCAGCAGUGGGGAAUAUUGCAAAAUGGGCGCAAGCCUGAUGCAGCCAUGCCGCGUGUAUGAAGAAGGCCUUCGGGUUGUAAAGUACUUUCAGCGAGGAGGCGUUACGCGCAGAAGAAGCACCGGCUAACUCCGUGCCAGAAGCAGCGGUAAUAC